CAGAGCAUUGGUAUUGGAAGACAGGAAGUGUAGAUGUUAAGAAACAGGAGAGAAAAACAUCAAAGCUGGAAAGGUGGAUACAGGUUAUAAAUGAUGAAGGGGAAAACACACAUUAUUGGAUUUGCUCCUCCGGUUGCUGAUACUUCAUCUACUCGUAGAGAUGAUGAUGCCGUCGACUCUUGAUACAUCGUAGAUUGUGUACUUACGAUUUUGAGAUGAAUGUUUUUAGAUUGUUUUAAAUUUUUUUUUUUGAUACAUACCUCAAUUUCCAAAAUACGAUUAUGCCAGAACUUUGAUAAGUAUAGAUCUUGGAAAGGACUUUAAUUAGUAUGUUCUAUGUUGACUUGACAGGAACAUGGUUUCCAAAAUCUUAUGUAUAACAAUUAGUUUGUAGAGUU